rnacentral:miRNA from 1 species
UGAACUCCAGUUCCAGGCUAGAC